rnacentral:lncRNA from 1 species
ACUGUAGUUUGGGUACCCCAAACAAUUGUGUUAUUUGGGAAGCUGGACAUGGAGGCCCCCAUAGGGUGUAUUUACGCUUAAGGGACGUCACUAGAGCACUGGGGUAUUUGUUCACUCUUCUCAUAAUGGUACAGGAAUGCCCAGUUUCUUCAAACCCUUAACCUUGUGGACAGCCCUUAAAUUGCUUUGCAAACUGAUGUCACAAACUGGAGACUGCUCCUUUUCCACCAUUCUUGAAAUGUAGCCACCUCUGGUGUAGGAUGUUGUGGAAAGAAAAACACCACAGUAACAGGCGUUUUUGUUAUUAUUGUUAACGUUUUUGCCUUUGACUCUCCCUGAUUAUUAAAUGGAGAAAUCCUUUUUUUUUGUCUUCUCUCCCAUCCUACCUUCCUCCGCCGCAUAUCCUGUUUUGGGGAUACCUGAUGUGACUUGCUGGGAGGUGAUGGACAUUACUAGUAACC